CCUACGGGUGGCAGCAGUCGAGAAUCAUUCACAAUGGGGGAAACCCUGAUGGUGCGACGCCGCGUGGGGGAAUGAAGGUCUUCGGAUUGUAAACUCCUUUCAUGGGGGAGCAAAUUAAAAAGAUAGUACCACAAGAGGAAGCGACCGCUAACUCUGUGCCAGCAGUCGCGGUAAUACAGAGGUCUCAAGCGGUGUUCGUAUUCACUGGGCGUAAAGCGUGCGUAGGCUGUUGCGUAAGUCGUGUGUGAAAGGCGGGGGCGCAACCCGGGGACGGCAUAUGAUACUGCGAGACUAGAGUGAGGGAGGGGGAAGCGGAAUUCUCGGUGUAGCAGUGAAAUGCGUAGAUAUCGGGAGGAACACUCGUGGCGAAGGCGGGUUCCUGGACAGUAACUGACGCUGAGGCACGAAGGCGAGGGGAGCGAAAGGGAUUAGAUACCCGGGUAGUC
rnacentral:rRNA from 1 species